rnacentral:rRNA from 1 species
UGGGGAAUUUUGGACAAUGGGGGAAACCCUGAUCCAGCCAUCCCGCGUGUGCGAUGAAGGCCUUCGGGUUGUAAAGCACUUUUGGCAGGAAAGAAACGUCGCGGGUUAAUACCCCGCGAAACUGACGGUACCUGCAGAAUAAGCACCGGCUAACUACGUGCCAGCAGCCGCGGUAAUACGUAGGGUGCAAGCGUUAAUCGGAAUUACUGGGCGUAAAGCGUGCGCAGGCGGUUCGGAAAGAAAGAUGUGAAAUCCCAGAGCUUAACUUUGGAACUGCAUUUUUAACUACCGGGCUUUAGAGUGUGUCAGAGGGAGGUGGAAUUCCGCGUGUAGCAGUGAAAUGCGUAGAUAUGCGGAGGAACACCGAUGGCGAAGGCAGCCUCCUGGGAUAACACUGACGCUCAUGCACGAAAGCGUGGGGAGCAAACAGGAUUAGAUACCCUGGUAGUCCACGCCCUAAACGAUGUCAACUAGCUGUUGGGGCCUUCGGGCCUUGGUAGCGCAGCUAACGCGUGAAGUUGACCGCCUGGGGAGUACGGUCGCAAGAUUAAAACUCAAAUGAAUUGACGGGGUCGAUANCUGUUUCCU